rnacentral:rRNA from 1 species
AGGACGAACGCUGGCGGCGUGCUUAACACAUGCAAGUCGAGCGGAAAGGCCCUUCGGGGUAAUCGAGCGGCGAACGGGUGAGUAACACGUGAGUAAUCUGCCCCUAGCUCUGGGAUAGCUCCGGGAAAACCGGGAUUAAUACCAGAUAUUACCACUUUAGACAUCUCUUGUGGUGGAAAGAAUUUCGGCUAGGGAUGAACUCGCGGCCUAUCAGCUUGUUGGUGAGGUAACGGCUCACCAAGGCGACGACGGGUA